UUGGGUUGUGUUUGCGGUUUGUGUAUUGUCGAAGGUUUUCACGGCCGGCAUACGAUGGCUGGUGUGGGUGUUCCGGUUUGUGUCUUUGCUUCACGGUUGCGGGAGCUGAUGUCGGCGACGAUGCCGUUGGUCGUAUCAGUCCUGCGGGAAUUGGAACUAAGAUGCCUCCAUGUGACCAGGACGUUCCCCCCUUGAGCAGAGAAAUAACCAGCGAGGGAAGAGGAAACUGCAGCAAGGCCAUGGCAGUGCAUGGUAAGGCUGACCCGCAGGAUGGGACUUCUGGAGCUUCGUGACAAACCGAGAGACUUAAAAGAAGAGAGGCAGUGUUGCAGCCACCUGUGAAUCUAAAGAACAUGUUGCUGGCCCUUUAACAUGUGCUUUAAAAUGAGCUCUGAAAGGUAAGAUUGUGUUGUAAUAUUGCAAUAAAUUGUUCAAAUGAAUACUGAGGCUGUAAUAACUUCACAAAGUUUGUGCUUGGCAGUUAAUGCCUCCCAGUUUUUAAUACCGGGAAGUUUGGGUUAUGCCCUUUCCCAAAAAGAAUAAACAUUUCAGUGUCUUCAUCUGUUGAUUUGAGGCCUUUAUUCUCUGACUUUCGGUCAGAAACGCUUUCUGAGUGCCAUAAGGGGUGUUCAUGAAAUUAAAAAAAGUUUUAUUUUGAAUCUGGAAUUAAUUCUGUUAGUUAUCCAGAACUGUUUGGGGUCAACCUCAGUUCAGCAGAUCCAGAACUUGGGACACUCUUCUGAGUUUUGGAUGAAACAAAACCUGGAUGGGGUGAAUAGAGCAAGAAUGGUAUGUGUUGCAAGAACCACCUCUCUUCAGGUGCAGUGUUAUAUAUCACCUACCUGCCCUCUUGAUCUGUCUAGUGCCUUCUGGCCCUCCUGACAGUCACACGCACACACAAAUCCAUACGCCCAUUUCUCCUGCUCUUCUGCCCACCUGAAGCACUGCUGAGCAUUUCAGUCUGUGCCCAGAACAAUUAUGAGAGAGCCAGUGUGGUGGGGUGGUUAAUUGUGGAACUGAGCAGGAAGGUUCUAGUCCACCCAGUCAGCCAGUGGCUGAUGUGGGGCCAUGCACUCUCUCUCUGCCCAACCUAUCCUACAGUUGUUAUAUAAAGGAAUUGGAGGUAUGUUACAUAUGCCAUGUUAGACUCCCAAAGGAAAGGUAGUAUGUGACUUAAGCAGCCUGAUGUUGUUGCAUGCAGAGACCAAAACAGUUGAAACACACCUGUAUCAGGCUGGGCACCCAGGGCACAGGAGCAGCUGUUUGUGCCUGGAACAGUUUGCACCUCCCUGGUAUAAACCCAUUUCCUGCAUUCUACAGUAGAGCGAUUGCCUAUUAAAGAAAAAGAGUAGGGAAGGAGAAGGAGGUAAAGGAGGUGUUCUGGCCCUUAUCAUGGAGAUACUUCUUGUAUCUCAUUGCUCCAUUUUAUUUUUCUGUGUUUUAUCUUGCUUUCCUGAUGACUUAGACAUAUUUAUAUGCAGCUCUAUUCAAGCUGUGUACGUAACGUUUCUGGUCAUUGGCCGUAAUGAAGAUGUUCUGUUUUGAGCCUUAGGGAGCUCCCUGCCUGUGCAGGACUCCACUAUUAUGGUGUCACUGGCAGAUAGCGCUCAGCUUUCCUUUCAAUAUGCUUUGGCAUGUCAUUGUCCUUCCUCAAAUGUAAUGUCUGGAAUUAAAUCCGGUAUUCUAGAGUGGUCUGGCCAGCGUGAAUAAAGCUUUCUCUCAAAGCGAACAGCUUCAUUUAUAAUGAUUCCGCCAAGUUUUGUUCCUGUGCAGUGAUUAUCCUACCUGGGCCUUGCCAUUGUGAAGAAGGAAAUCCUGGGCCAAGUGGGCGGUGGCAGUGGCUGCCACGAACAUGGCUGGCUCAGAUGGCACUGGGGGGCAUGCUCACCACUAGUUUAGCCCUGUUACGACAUAAAUGUGGCUGCUGGGUCAUUGUUAUGCCAGGGCAGGCUGCCAGGGCCCGAAUAGCUUCAUCUGCUUGGCAACAGUCUUUCACCUUCAUCCCUAAAAUGUCUUUUGGCCGUGAGCCUGAGGGUUUCCAGAAGGAGGUUUUCCAAGCAGCCCCUUGACAAGCUCAUCCACGGGGGGUUCCUGUGCCUAAGUUCCCAGGAGUCCUUUCUCAGUGUGCGGUUUGGUGUUUUGAUGCACAGUGCUCUAUGGAGGGGUAUAGGCUGCACCCUUAAUAAGCAAGUCUGAAUGUUUUUUGUUCUUUUUUUUAUGGCUGGCACCGUUCCAUGUGCAGUCACAAAUUUAGUAAUGCCCACACUAAAGCGUUUUACAGGAACCGGGAGGAAGGGGCUCUGCAACCCGGAAGGGGAGCACUAAACUGAAUCCUGCAGGGGAGAGGAGAGAGCGCAAAAGGCGAUGGGCCGCCUCGUUCAAGGAUUGGGUGGGAUACCCAGGACAAGGAGAUGGUCAGUAAUGAGGAAGCAAAGACAAGAUAGGCCAGGUUGGGAGGUCCCAAAGGUGGGAAGGGUCUUUUUCCCCUACCAUAUUCCUUGGAAAGUUUAAUUGAGGUUUGCACAGAAAUUAUGCUUAUUUGUUAAAAUAGGGAUUGCCAGCCUGGUUCUGAAUCUCAGUAGUAUUGGGUAUGUUAUUUCCUGUUCUGAUUUGGGAAACACCACAAGGUUUAAAUAUAACCCCUGAACUUGCAAUUAAAGAACAAGGUGGAGGAAGAUGUAGAAAAGCCCAGCACUGCCUGUUGAUGGAUGAUAACCCUACUGAUUUUGCAUUAUGGCCUCUCCCUGGUGACCAUAUUAAAAGAUUUUUACAGCAAAGAAACUCUGGAGCACGUUGAACUGAGUAUGCAUACACAGUAGAAUUUGCAUACGACCAAGAGAGAUUGAUUUUGAAGAAUGGGGUCAUUUAAAAUCUUGGUAAAAGCAGGCAAGCUGUGUUUAAAAAAAACAAACCAACUUUAACCCUGACUUAUCACCGUUCUUUUCAAGAAACAGUGGUGAAUCUUCCAGACAGCUUGCUCAUUCUUAUUGCAUAAAUCAUCCCCCUAAUAGGAUACUGGCAGCGUUACUUCUGAACUACAAGGGUCUGGUCUUGCGAGCAGGCAAAAGCCCAGAAGGGCAAUGGGAGAUCUGCAAGUUGUCUCAGAGCCUGCUUCCCUGCGGGGAAUCCGGACCCCAGGACUUCCAGUCCAAAAGCUGAGCAGGGGGAAACUAGGCUGGAAGAAAAAAUCCCAGAAAAGAGCUGUGGCAGACUCUUAUGUGCUCUUCUGUAACGUCAAGAAAAUAAUCCAGGUACUGUAAAUAUAUGUCAGCAGGAGUCAUGCUGAAGUAAAAGGAGACAAUGCUGAAGUAAAAGGAGAGAGUUCAUUUCUGCUUCUUUAUCUCAACAUUUGGUCAAAUUAAAAACUGCUGCUUAACAGCUAGGAAAUCUUCAGGAGCUUUGGCUGAAAUGCAGCUGGCUGUGUCAGACUUUUGCCAAGGCUUCUCCACCUUCCAAAAUGUGAUUUCUCAUUCAUUAAACGAUUUUGAAUUUAUCAGGGUCAGCUUUCCUAGGCUUUAUUACGGUAAGACUCAGGAAGGUCAUUGGACAAGCAGUGCUAUGCUUGCAGAAAUUCAUUAUUUUUUUUAAGAUGGAACAGGAUUUGAAUAUGUUAAUUCAUUUCAAGAUGUGA